rnacentral:lncRNA from 14 species
AGUAAUUGUUGAAAAGGGAGCACAGGUUUCCUUUGGCAGUGAGAUGCACUGUGAGCCUAGGCAGUCUUGAGAAGGAAGCUAUUCUGUACUGAAUCAGCAUGGGAUAGAGUGCCUAGAAGACGUUCAGACCAAGCACAGCUAGCGCGUCCCUGCUGGUUCUCCAUUCUGCAUCCGUGCAGCCACGUUCUAUUGAUGGCCUGUUGUGAUUUCAAUGGAACAUCAUGGGAUGUACCUGGCACGUCGGGCAGCACUGGAUGGAGGUGCCUUUAG